rnacentral:lncRNA from 1 species
GCCACGAGCUGUUGUGCAUCCAGAGGUGGAAUUGGGGCCCGGCAUUCCCUCCUCGUCCCGGGCUGGCCCUUGCCCCCACCCUGCAACUCCUGGUUGAGAUGGGCUCAGCCAAGAGCGUCCCAGUCACACCAGCGCGGCCUCCGCCGCACAACAAGCAUCUGGCUCGAGUGGCGGACCCCCGUUCACCUAGUGCUGGCAUCCUGCGCACUCCCAUCCAGGUACUCUGGGCCAGCGUGGGAAAGGCAGAGAAUGUCUGAAUUCUUGGGUCUCUUCCUAACCUGAUUUUGAGAGAGCCGUCAUGACCCCACCCUUAUCCUAGCCUUAUUUUCUGCAAUCUCAAUCUGUGUGGGGUAGGCUGGAUAUCUGAGGGCCUUGGCAAUUCCUUCCUGGAAUAUGGGGAGGAGAGGAGAGAAGAGUCAGGGCCCAGACUUGUUCUAGCCUAUGGUCUUGACAGGUGGAGAGCUCUCCACAGCCAGGCCUACCAGCAGGGGAGCAACUGGAGGGUCUUAAACAUGCCCAGGACUCAGAUCCCCGCUCUCCUACUCUUGGUAUUGCACGGACACCUAUGAAGACCAGCAGUGGAGACCCCCCAAGCCCACUGGUGAAACAGCUGAGUGAAGUAUUUGAAACUGAAGACUCUAAAUCAAAUCUUCCCCCAGAGCCUGUUCUGCCCCCAGAGGCACCUUUAUCUUCUGAAUUGGACUUGCCUCUGGGUACCCAGUUAUCUGUUGAGGAACAGAUGCCACCUUGGAACCAGACUGAGUUCCCCUCCAAACAGGUGUUUUCCAAGGAGGAAGCAAGACAGCCCACAGAAACCCCUGUGGCCAGCCAGAGCUCCGACAAGCCCUCAAGGGACCCUGAGACUCCCAGAUCUUCAGGUACAGAAUCUAAGGCAAGAUGCAGGGAAGAUAAACUAGGAUAAUGUUUUGGGAUAAGGUCCAUGGGUGAGUGUGGGAGGAAUAAACUGUAAGUCCUAGUUUUGGGUCCUUGCUUUAACGCCUUACCCACCCCAGGUUCUAUGCGCAAUAGAUGGAAACCAAACAGCAGCAAGGUACUAGGGAGAUCCCCCCUCACCAUCCUGCAGGAUGACAACUCCCCUGGCACCCUGACACUACGACAGGGUAAGCGGCCUUCACCCCUAAGUGAAAAUGUUAGUGAACUAAAGGAAGGAGCCAUUCUUGGAACUGGACGACUUCUGAAAACUGGAGGACGAGCAUGGGAGCAAGGCCAGGACCAUGACAAGGAAAAUCAGCACUUUCCCUUGGUGGAGAGCUAGGCCCUGCAUGGCCCCAGCAAUGCAGUCACCCAGGGCCUGGUGAUAUCUGUGUCCUCUCACCCCUUCUUUCCCAGGGAUACUGAGGAAUGGCUUGUUUUCUUAGACUCCUCCUCAGCUACCAAACUGGGACUCACAGCUUUAUUGGGCUUUCUUUGUGUCUUGUGUGUUUCUUUUAUAUUAAAGGAAGUAAUUUUAAAUGUUACUUUAAAAAGGU